CACGUCCCGAUCACCGUUCGAGAAUGGCACAAGCCGAAGGGACUACAGGAGGCACGGAAAGAACUGAUAACGGGUUUGGAUGACAUACUAAGCGGGCGGACAGCUAUCGGGAUCAAAAGAAUGGGCGAACUUGAUGUAAGGCCUUUUGAGAAUGCAUGCAGGAGAAAGUAUGGGAAUGAUGAUUAUGAGAUGAGAGCAGCAGAGCUGAUCUCAGCUUGGCAGGACGAAAUAAAGAAGCCAGCAUGGCAUCCUUAUAAGUUUAUUAAGGCUGAUGAUGGAACCGACAAGGAAGUUGUAAAUAACGACGACCCAAGACUGCGGGAAUUGUGGCUUGAUUAUGGUGACGAUGUGUGUAAUGCA